rnacentral:lncRNA from 1 species
CCGUGCUUUCAGCACUACUGGCAAGCAAAGUGUUCACUGAUGAAUGAACAAUUACAUUUACCCACAGACUGAAAUAUAAUGUUAUUUUGUUUUGACUGAAAUUCCAACUCAGUGUGAGAAUACUGUGAAAAAAAAUCAUGAGAAGUAUCCUCAUAGGUGAGUCUUUUCACACAUCUGCACUAGUGAAUAUCUGAAUUUUAAAAGCCACUCUAGACCUACAUAGGUGAUGAACGAUGUGUACUUGAAAACAGUACACUCUUGCACAGCUGUCCCUGGAGCUUCCCCGUGGAGCUGUUAAACUUGCCCUUCGCUGGCUGUUUUCCACAAAGUAAUAUGGUUACAUAGAUUCACGGCUCAUGGCAAUGUUUCAUUAAGACAGUUCUUGAUGGCCGCUCCACACCUUUCUCACCACAUCUCACAGGCUGCCCUGCUGAGCCAGGUCUCCCUGGAACCCGGGGCUCCUGCGCAGGCCCCCAUUUUGCUCCAGAACACCCAGGAAGGCGGGGCUUGGGCUGGAAUGGGGACACCGAUUACUCUCUAUUCGGGCCUUUGGUGUCAGCUGAGGUCGAUACUGGUGCCAGGAUCGAGACUGUGCCCAUCCCAUCGAGAGCGGGCAGAUAUGGGGGCGCACUGGACCGGGCCUCCCAGGCUGACACCCAUUCACAGCAGCCUGAGCCUAAUCCGCCACUGCUCGCCUUCCUCCGACGUCUCCACCUAAACCAUCCUUCUGCACAUUGUAACCCAUCACUCCGCCCUUUGUCCA